rnacentral:rRNA from 1 species
GGUUAAGCGACUAAGCGUACACGGUGGAUGCCCUGGCAGUCAGAGGCGAUGAAGGACGUGCUAAUCUGCGAUAAGCGUCGGUAAGGUGAUAUGAACCGUUAUAACCGGCGAUUUCCGAAUGGGGAAACCCAGUGUGUUUCGACACACUAUCAUUAACUGAAUCCAUAGGUUAAUGAGGCGAACCGGGGGAACUGAAACAUCUAAGUACCCCGAGGAAAAGAAAUCAACCGAGAUUCCCCCAGUAGCGGCGAGCGAACGGGGAGCAGCCCAGAGCCUGAAUCAGUGUGUGUGUUAGUGGAAGCGUCUGGAAAGGCGUGCGAUACAGGGUGACAGCCCCGUACACAAAAAUGCACAUGCUGUGAGCUCGAUGAGUAGGGCGGGACACGUGGUAUCCUGUCUGAAUAUGGGGGGACCAUCCUCCAAGGCUAAAUACUCCUGACUGACCGAUAGUGAACCAGUACCGUGAGGGAAAGGCGAAAAGAACCCCGGCGAGGGGAGUGAAAAAGAACCUGAAACCGUGUACGUACAAGCAGUGGGAGCACGCUUAGGCGUGUGACUGCGUACCUUUUGUAUAAUGGGUCAGCGACUUAUAUUCUGUAGCAAGGUUAACCGAAUAGGGGAGCCGAAGGGAAACCGAGUCUUAACUGGGCGUUAAGUUGCAGGGUAUAGACCCGAAACCCGGUGAUCUAGCCAUGGGCAGGUUGAAGGUUGGGUAACACUAACUGGAGGACCGAACCGACUAAUGUUGAAAAAUUAGCGGAUGACUUGUGGCUGGGGGUGAAAGGCCAAUCAAACCGGGAGAUAGCUGGUUCUCCCCGAAAGCUAUUUAGGUAGCGCCUCGUGAAUUCAUCUCCGGGGGUAGAGCACUGUUUCGGCAAGGGGGUCAUCCCGACUUACCAACCCGAUGCAAACUGCGAAUACCGGAGAAUGUUAUCACGGGAGACACACGGCGGGUGCUAACGUCCGUCGUGAAGAGGGAAACAACCCAGACCGCCAGCUAAGGUCCCAAAGUCAUGGUUAAGUGGGAAACGAUGUGGGAAGGCCCAGACAGCCAGGAUGUUGGCUUAGAAGCAGCCAUCAUUUAAAGAAAGCGUAAUAGCUCACUGGUCGAGUCGGCCUGCGCGGAAGAUGUAACGGGGCUAAACCAUGCACCGAAGCUGCGGCAGCGACGCUGAUGCGUUGUUGGGUAGGGGAGCGUUCUGUAAGCCUGCGAAGGUGUGCUGUGAGGCAUGCUGGAGGUAUCAGAAGUGCGAAUGCUGACAUAAGUAACGAUAAAGCGGGUGAAAAGCCCGCUCGCCGGAAGACCAAGGGUUCCUGUCCAACGUUAAUCGGGGCAGGGUGAGUCGACCCCUAAGGCGAGGCCGAAAGGCGUAGUCGAUGGGAAACAGGUUAAUAUUCCUGUGCUUGGUGUUACUGCGAAGGGGGGACGGAGAAGGCUAUGUUGGCCGGGCGACGGUUGUCCCGGUUUAAGCGUGUAGGCUGGUUUUCCAGGCAAAUCCGGAAAAUCAAGGCUGAGGCGUGAUGACGAGGCACUACGGUGCUGAAGCAACAAAUGCCCUGCUUCCAGGAAAAGCCUCUAAGCAUCAGGUAACAUCAAAUCGUACCCCAAACCGACACAGGUGGUCAGGUAGAGAAUACCAAGGCGCUUGAGAGAACU